GACGAACGCUGGCGGCGUGCUUAACACAUGCAAGUCGAACGGAAAGGCCCCCACCUUGGUGGGGGUGCUCGAGUGGCGAACGGGUGAGUAACACGUGGGUGAUCUGCCCUGUACUUCGGGAUAAGCUUGGGAAACUGGGUCUAAUACCGGAUAGGACCAUGGUUUAGUGUCUCAUGGUGGAAAAAUUAUUGUUUUGGUGCAGGAUGAGCUCGCGGCCUAUCAGCUUGUUGGUGGGGUAAUGGCCUACCAAGGCGUCGACGGGUAGCCGGCCUGAGAGGGUGGACGGCCACAUUGGGACUGAGAUACGGCCCAGACUCCGACGGGAGGCGGCAGUGGGGAAUAUUGCACAAUGGGCGCAAGCCUGAUGCAGCGACGCCGCGUGGGGGAUGACGGCCUUCGGGUGGUAAACUCCUUUCGUUAGGGACGAAGCCACACCUUUUUGGGGUGUGGUGACGGUACCUUUGUUAAGAAGCACCGGCUAACUACGUG
rnacentral:rRNA from 1 species